rnacentral:rRNA from 1 species
CACCAGGUUGAUUCUGCCUGUUAUAUGUGCUAGUGUCGAAGAUUUAGCCAUGCAUGCUUUACGAAUUCACAAGAAGAAGUGGCGGACAGCUCAGUAAUACAGUUAUAAUAUACUCUCUACUAAAGGAUAACCGCGGUAAGCUGCGGGUAAAACUUCAAGCUAUGUGUUUCAUGAAAGAAUUUAUAGUUCAGAGUGUUAGUUUCUGGCCUAUUAGUUAGUAGGUAAUGUAAGGGAUUACCUAGACUAUUAUGGGUAACGGGAGAUGAAUGUCUGAUACCGGAGAGGAAGCCUUAGAAACCGCUUUCACGUCCAAGGAUGGCAGCAGGCGCGAAACUUACCCAAUCGUUUUUUAAGACGGAGGUAGUUAUGACACAUGUGAAUUAUUCACGAGGAAGAUCAAUAAAUCAGAUUUUUUUUACUGGAGGGCAAGUCUGGUGCCAGCAGCCGCGGUAAUUCCAGCUCCAGUAGUGCAUAUACAUGCUGUAGUUAGAAAGUUUGUAGCCGUAUAAGCUUGAAUCAGAGGAAAGGAGGACUCUUAAGGUAAACUUUAACUCUGGUCAAUGCUUAUAUUCGAAGCGGAUGGAGGCACUUGUAUUCAAUAGCGAGAGGUAAAAUUUGAUGACCUAUUGAGGACAAUCAGUAGCGAAAGCGAGUGUCUAGUACGCGUUUGAGGGUCAAGAACGUUAGCCGGAGGAUCGAAGAUGAUUAGAUACCGUUGUAGUUCCGGCCGUAAACCAUGCCUACUUGCCUUGUACAUAGUAUGAAGCAUAGAGAAAUUAAGAGUUUUUGGGCUCUAGGGAUAGUAAUCCGGCAACGGACAAACUUAAAGAAAUUGGCGGAAGGACACCACAAGGAGUGGAUUGUGCGGCUCAACUUGACUCAACACGGGAAAUCUU